rnacentral:rRNA from 1 species
GAAGGAGAAGUCGUAACAAGGUUUCCGUAGGUGAACCUGCGGAAGGAUCAUUGUCGAAACCUGCCCAGCAACACGACCCGCGAACUUGUUUAACGUAUCGACGGUGGUUUUGGCAUAAAUCCUCGGAUUUACGACAAUCCCCGAAAAAGUCGAGGGGGUAUGCCCGUUGCUCCGCAGCGUUUGGCUCCCCGAGACAACAAACCAACUCGGGCGCUGGUUGCGCCAAGGAGCUUUAUUAAAAACUGAAGGAACUCCCCGCCAUCCCGGAAACGGUGCAUGUGUCGGGGAUCGGUUCCUUGCGGUCAUAAACAAAAYGACUCUCGGCAACGGAUAUCUCGGCUCUCGCAUCGAUGAAGAACGUAGCGAAAUGCGAUACUUGGUGUGAAUUGCAGAAUCCCGUGAACCAUCGAGUCUUUGAACGCAAGUUGCGCCCAAAGCCUUCUGGUUGAGGGCACGUCUGCCUGGGUGUCACACAAAGUCGCCCGAGCCCAACACGCAGUGGGAAUCGGGCGGAUAUUGGUCUCCCGUGUGACCUCACUCGCGGUUGGCCCAAAAUACGAGCCCCGAUGACUUUAGUCACGGCGACCGGUGGUUUGUAGACCCGAGGACAUCGUCGUGCGCUACUGUCUUUUGGUGGAUGGAUGGCCCGGAAGAGCAUAACUGCUCACUCCUAAAGCGACCCCAGGUCAGGCGGGACUACCCGCUGAGUUUAAGCAUAUCAAUAAGCGGAGGA